GGAGAUGUGGCUCAGUGGUAGAGCACUUACCUGGCAUGCAUGAAGCCCUGGAUUCCAUCUCUAGCAUCACAA
rnacentral:tRNA from 1 species